UCCUUAUUCAAACUGGUUGUGUUGUGGUUUUAUUUCAUCACAACCUCCUUGAAUGAGAUU
rnacentral:pre_miRNA from 1 species